rnacentral:rRNA from 1 species
GUCGAACGGCAGCACGGGUGCUUGCACCUGGUGGCGAGUGGCGAACGGGUGAGUAAUGCACCGGAACGUACCCAGUAAUGGGGGAUAACACAUCGAAAGAUGUGCUAAUACCGCAUACGCCCUGAGGGGGAAAGCGGGGGAUCGUAAGACCUCGCGUUAUUGGAGCGGCCGAUGCCGGAUUAGCUAGUUGGUGAGGUAAAGGCUCACCAAGGCGACGAUCCGUAGCUGGUCUGAGAGGACGACCAGCCACACUGGGACUGAGACACGGCCCAGACUCCUAC